rnacentral:rRNA from 1 species
AUUGAACGCUGGCGGCAGGCCUAACACAUGCAAGUCGAGCGGAUGAAGGGAGCUUGCUCCUGGAUUCAGCGGCGGACGGGUGAGUAAUGCCUAGGAAUCUGCCUGGUAGUGGGGGAUAACGUCCGGAAACGGGCGCUAAUACCGCAUACGUCCUGAGGGAGAAAGUGGGGGAUCUUCGGACCUCACGCUAUCAGAUGAGCCUAGGUCGGAUUAGCUAGUUGGUGGGGUAAAGGCCUACCAAGGCGACGAUCCGUAACUGGUCUGAGAGGAUGAUCAGUCACACUGGAACUGAGACACGGUCCAGACUCCUACGGGAGGCAGCAGUAGGGAAUAUUGGACAAUGGGCGAAAGCCUGAUCCAGCCAUGCCGCGUGUGUGAAGAAGGUCUUCGGAUUGUAAAGCACUUUAAGUUGGGAGGAAGGGCAGUAAGUUAAUACCUUGCUGUUUUGACGUUACCAUCAGAAUAAGCACCGGCUAACUUCGUG